rnacentral:rRNA from 1 species
AUGGGUGGUGUCUCUCUUCAGCACCCAUGGGCCUUUGCCUUUGGCCUCCUAGGCAACGUCAUCUCCUUCAUGACCUACCUGGCUCCACUGCCGACGUUCUACCGGAUCUACCGGAGCAAGUCGACUCAGGGGUUCCAGUCGGUCCCGUACGUGGUGGCGCUCUUUAGCGCGAUGCUGUGGAUCUACUAUGCUCUUCUCAAGUCCAACGAGUGUCUCCUCAUCACCAUCAACUCCGCCGGCUGCAUCAUCGAGACCAUCUACAUCGUCAUCUACCUCACCUACGCACCAAAGCAAGCCAAGCUCUUAAGGGCGAAGAUCCUCUUCCCCCUGAAUGUGGGCGUGUUCGGCCUCAUCCUCCUCCUCACCCUGCUCUUGUCAGAGGGCGAGAAGCGCGUCGUCAUGCUCGGGUGGGUCUGCGUCGGCUUCUCCGUCAGUGUCUUCAUUGCGCCCCUCAGCAUCAUCUGUCUUGUCGUGCGCACCCGAAGCGUAGAGUUCAUUCCCUUUUCCCUCUCCCUCUCCCUCACCAUUAGUGCCGUCGUAUGGUUCCUCUACGGCCUCCUCAUCAAGGACAAAUACGUCGCUCUGCCCAACAUUCUUGGGUUCGCCUUCGGUGUGAUCCAGAUGGGGCUCUAUGCCGUCUACCGCAACACCACGCCCACAACAGCACCCAAGGACGUCGACGACCCCAUGACUAACCAUGGUACUACCGUCAAGGCGCCCGAGCACGUUGUCCACAUCGCUAAGCUCGGCCCGGUGGCUGGCCUCGAGCUGAACACACACUAUCCUGUCAAACCGGGGAUGCCGCCACCGAUGAAGGAGAACGGCAAGGCCCAUGCCAGCGUCAUGACCAAGGGGAGCGUUGACAAGGUUGACAAGGCAACGCACAUCGAACAAGUCUAG